UACGUAGGGUGCGAGCGUUGUCCGGAAUUACUGGGCGUAAAGAGCUCGUAGGUGGUUUGUCGCGUUGUUCGUGAAAACUCACAACUCAAUUGUGGGCGUGCGGGCGAUACGGGCAGACUGGAGUGCGGUAGGGGAGAAUGGAAUUCCUGGUGUAGCGGUGGAAUGCGCAGAUAUCAGGAGGAACACCGAUGGCGAAGGCAGUUCUCUGGGCCGUAACUGACGCUGAGGAGCGAAAGCGUGGGGAGCGAACAGG
rnacentral:rRNA from 1 species